ensembl:lncRNA
CGAUGACAUAGUGGUGGGUCCAAUAGAACAGGAGAGAGAUGACAUAGUGGUGGGUCCAAUAGAACAGGAGAGAGAUGACAUAGUGGUGGGUCCAAUAGAACAGGAGAGAGAUGACAUAGUGGUGGGUCCAAUAGAACAGGAGAGAGAUGACAUAGUGGUGGGUCUAAUAGAACAGGAGAGAGAUGACAUAGUGGUGGGUCUAAUAGAACGAUGACAUAGUGGUGGGUCCAAUAGAACAGGAGAGAGAUGACAUAGUGGUGGGUCCAAUAGAACAGGAGAGAGAUGACAUAGUGGUGGGUCCAAUAGAACAGGAGAGAGAUGACAUAGUGGUGGGUCCAAUAGAACAGGAGAGAGAUGACAUAGUGGUGGGUCCAAUAGAACAGGAGAGAGAUGACAUAGUGGUGGGUCUAAUAGAACAGGA